rnacentral:miRNA from 1 species
ACAAUUCAGUUGCAGAUAUCCG